UCGUAGCAUAGGCUGCCCAAAAAUGCGUGUUGAAAUUUUUACCCUCGCGCGUGGCGUUCGGGCAUGCAUCGAGUUUACUCAGUUUAUUAUUAUGACAAAUAAUAAUAAUAAUAAACUGAGUAGACUCGAUUUCAACAAAAAUUUCAACACGCAUUUUUGGGCAGCCUAUGCUCGGA